UGGUGGUGCGUGGGGGAGGCAGGCAGGAAUUGAAAAGGAGGGAGGAGGUCUGGGGUGGACUGGGGACCCGUGCUGACCUGGGCCUGCAGUAGCUAAGACGUCUGAGUUUUCAAGAGAAGGCAGACAUUGUGCUUUUUGUAGAUGAGGUAUGCGUGUCUGGCAACAACAGGAAACUUUCUAAAGGCAUCAUGUGAGCGAAACAACCAGAGGAGCUUGCCACCCGUUAAAGUGAGAACCGGGUCUGCUCAGUAGGAAGAGUCACCGAAAGCUACCCCCACCCCGCGCGGAGUCUUUGGGUUUCCCAGGUCUUCACGCUUUCGCAGUGGGGGAGGGUCAGCCGUGAGGGUCCAGCUGUGGGAAAACUUGUCCUGGGAUGGAAGUCUCGUGCCUGGUCCUGCCCUGAAACCUCACGUGCGGAAGUGAGGUGUCUGGACCCUUUUGGUGCCUAUGGCCCCUGAGGACUGGCAGCAGCAGGGCCAGGAGCCAGCCCUUGCCUGUCUGAGUGGGGAUUCUUGUAUGUGAUUGUGUUUCCUCAGUUCCAGAACCUUCUAUCCUGUUAGCUCUUCAAAUAAUGCCUCUCCCACUUUCUUUCUUUUCCCAGAAGUCCGAUAAUCUUGUUAGAUUUUCCAUCUCCCUCUCAGACUUUCUUUUUUCUCUCCCUCCCUGAGACGUUCAGAGGACCUACUGACCCUUUAACCAAUUCACUCAUUCUUUCUGCAGUAAUGUCUGGUCUGCUAUAAAAUCGACCGCUCACUUCCGGGCGCACGCACUCACUUCACUGCAGGAACCUUGUGACUCUACCACCUGAAGCUUCUGGAAGAUCUCGGGCGGCAGAAAUGGAGAUAGUUUCCCCCCUUCGUCCGAGUACACCCGGCGAUGUCGACUGGUGGAUGAGGUGCCCGGAGCAGGCACGGGCACAGCUGGCUUCAGGUGUGUUUUCCCUGCAAGACGCACACAAGCAAGGGGCAUCGUGGAGUCCAGCGCGCCACAGACACGUGGAUUUGUGCGGGGGGUGUCCGAGGGAAAUCUGCUGGAGACCCACCGAGCUGGGCAGCUGUUGACUGGGCCCUCUCCAGACACUGCUCAGCCAGUUUCAGCAUCUUGGAGGUGUCUGGGGCCACCGUGUCUCCACCUUCUGGGGAGCAAGAGACAAGAAAACUGAUCACCAUCGCCUUUGUCACUAAACAGAGUCUUGCUGAAAUAAAAACAAGGACAAGCCCA